AGGGUUCGAUUCUGGCUCAGGAUGAACGCUAGCUACAGGCUUAACACAUGCAAGUCGAGGGGCAGCAUUGGAGUAGCAAUACUUCAGAUGGCGACCGGCGCACGGGUGAGUAACACGUAUCCAACCUGCCGCUUACUCGGGGAUAGCCUUUCGAAAGAAAGAUUAAUACCCGAUGGUAUAAAGAGUUCACAUGUUCUCUUUAUUAAAGAAUUUCGGUAAGCGAUGGGGAUGCGUUCCAUUAGAUAGUUGGCGGGGUAACGGCCCACCAAGUCUACGAUGGAUAGGGGUUCUGAGAGGAAGGUCCCCCACAUUGGAACUGAGACACGGUCCAAACUCCUGCGGGAGGCAGCAGUGAGGAAUAUUGGUCAAUGGACGAGAGUCUGAACCAGCCAAAGUAGCGUGAAGGAUGACUGCCCUAUGGGUUGUAAACUUCUUUUAUAAGGGAAUAAAGUGAGGGACGUGUCCCUUUUUGUAUGUACCUUAUGAAUAAGGAUCGGCUAACUCCGUGCCAGCCGCGGC
rnacentral:rRNA from 1 species